GACGAACGCUGGCGGCGUGCUUAACACAUGCAAGUCGAGCGGUAAGGCCUUUCGGGGUACACGAGCGGCGAACGGGUGAGUAACACGUGGGUGACCUGCCCCCUACUCUGGGAUAAGCCUGGGAAACUGGGUCUAAUACCGGAUAUGACCUGCGAUUGCAUGAUUGUGGGUGGAAAGUUUUUCGGUGGGGGAUGGGCCCGCGGCCUAUCAGCUUGUUGGUGGGGUGAUGGCCUACCAAGGCGACGACGGGUAGCCGGCCUGAGAGGGCGACCGGCCACACUGGGACUGAGACACGGCCCAGACUCCUACGGGAGGCAGCAGUGGGGAAUAUUGCGCAAUGGGCGGAAGCCUGACGCAGCGACGCCGCGUGGGGGAUGACGGCCUUCGGGUUGUAAACCUCUUUCGACUUCGACGAAGCCUUCGGGUGACGGUAGGGGUGGAAGAAGCACCGGCCAACUACGUGCCAGCAGCCGCGGUAACAC
rnacentral:rRNA from 1 species